AUUGAACGCUGGCGGCAGGCUUAACACAUGCAAGUCGAGCGGAGAUGAGGUGCUUGCACCUUAUCUUAGCGGCGGACGGAUGAGUAAUGCUUAGGAAUCUGCCUAUUAGUGGGGGACAACAUUCCGAAAGGAAUGCUAAUACCGCAUACGUCCUACGGGAGAAAGCAGGGGAUCUUCGGACCUUGCGCUAAUAGAUGAGCCUAAGUCGGAUUAGCUAGUUGGUGGGGUAAAGGCCUACCAAGGCGACGAUCUGUAGCGGGUCUGAGAGGAUGAUCCGCCACACGGGGACUGAGACACGGCCCAGACUCCUACGGGAGGCAGCAGUGGGGAAUAUUGGACAAUGGGGGGAACCCUGAUCCAGCCAUGCCGCGUGUGUGAAGAAGGCCUUAUGGUUGUAAAGCACUUUAAGCGAGGAGGAGGCUACUGAGACUAAUACUCUUGGAUAGUGGACGUUACUCGCGGAAUAAGCACCGGCUAACUCUGUGCCAGCAGCCGCCGUAA
rnacentral:rRNA from 1 species